UUACAGCCAUAUCACAUUGAAACACCAGUUCUCACAUGAUCACCAAAGUUAAGCAAUGUUGAAUCUGGUCAGUACCAAGAUAGGUGACUGCUUUGGAAUACCAGGGGCUGUAAG